UACGAAGGGAGCUAGCGUUGUUCGGAAUCACUGGGCGUAAAGCGCACGUAGGCGGAUGUGUCAGUCAGGGGUGAAAUCCCGGAGCUCAACUUCGGAACUGCCUUUGAUACAGCACAUCUGGAGUCCGGAAGAGGUGGGUGGAAUUCCUAGUGUAGAGGUGAAAUUCGUAGAUAUUAGGAAGAACACCGGUGGCGAAGGCGGCCCACUGGUCCGGUACUGACGCUGAGGUGCGAAAGCGUGGGGGAGCAAACAGG
rnacentral:rRNA from 1 species